UGGUGUUUGUUGUUGUUGACUCAUAUUGUCGGUUAUGGAAAGCCAAUGAAAAUAUGGGGUAUUGGAAAUACAUAAAGAAUGUGUUUGGAGAGAUAGAAGGGUAGUUAAUUUUAUUUUCCAAUUUCCUUUUUUAAUUAAUAAUUUGAUACGGUUUAAAAACCGAAAAUUAUUUUAUUAUUUACUAUUAUUUUUGUAAUUCAUUUUAUUAUAUGUUAUUGUUGUAAAUUUACAACUUAAGAAA
rnacentral:lncRNA from 1 species